rnacentral:rRNA from 1 species
UUUAAGAAAAAAGGGAGCAGAUAUCAGGCACGCCUUCGUCAGCCCAAGACAUCUUGCUUAGCCACACCCCCAAGGGACUUCAGCAGUGAUUAAUAUUAAACAAUAAACGAAAGUUUGAUCUAGUUAAAGUUAACAGAGCCGGUCAACCUCGUGCCAGCCACCGCGGUUAUACGAGCGGCCCAAAUUAAUAAAACAACGGCGUAAAGAGUGUAUAAGAAAAACCUUAUCCUAAUUAAAGCUUAAAAAAGUGCUUAACUGUUAUACGUACCCGCACCAAUGAAAAACAAUUACAAAAGAAACUUUAUAAAAACAAGGCCUCUUAAAACACGAUAGCUAAAAACCAAACUGGGAUUAGAUACCCCACUAUGUUUAGCCCUAAACCUAGGUGCUUAAUUACCUAAACACCCGCCAGAGAACUACAAGCGCCAGCUUGAAACCCAAAGGACUUGGCGGUGCUUAGAUCCCCCUAGAGGAGCCUGUUCUAGAACCGAUAAUCCCCGUUUAACCUCACCACCCCUUGCUCUUUCAGCCUAUAUACCGCCGUCGCCAGCUUGCCCCAUGAGGGAAAAAUAGCAAGCACAAAGAAUAAAUCUCCAAAACGUCAGGUCGAGGUGUAGCUUACGGGGUGGGAAGAAAUGAGCUACAUUUUCUAUCAAGACUAACAGAUAAAUAAUGAAAUUAAACUUGAAGUUGGAUUUAGUAGUAAGAUAUAAAUAGUAUAUUAAUCUG